rnacentral:rRNA from 1 species
GUGGACGCCAGUCUGCGUGGAGCCGACCUUGAAAUACCACCCUUUAAUGUUUGAUGUUCUAACGUGGACCCGUAAUCCGGGUUGCGGACAGUGUCUGGUGGGUAGUUUGACUGGGGCGGUCUCCUCCUAAAGAGUAACGGAGGAGCACGAAGGUUGGCUAAUCCUGGUCGGACAUCAGGAGGUUAGUGCAAUGGCAUAAGCCAGCUUGACUGCGAGCGUGACGGCGCGAGCAGGUGCGAAAGCAGGUCAUAGUGAUCCGGUGGUUCUGAAUGGAAGGGCCAUCGCUCAACGGAUAAAAGGUACUCCGGGGAUAACAGGCUGAUACCGCCCAAGAGUUCAUAUCGACGGCGGUGUUUGGCACCUCGAUGUCGGCUCAUCACAUCCUGGGGCUGAAGUAGGUCCCAAGGGUAUGGCUGUUCGCCAUUUAAAGUGGUACGCGAGCUGGGUUUAGAACGUCGUGAGACAGUUCGGUCCCUAUCUGCCGUGGGCGCUGGAGAACUGAGGGGGGCUGCUCCUAGUACGAGAGGACCGGAGUGGACGCAUCACUGGUGUUCGGGUUGUCAUGCCAAUGGCACUGCCCGGUAGCUAAAUGCGGAAGAGAUA